CAUUGAAAUACUGGUUCCCUUAAGAUCACUGAAGUUAAGCAACAUUGAGCCUGGUCAGUACCAAGAUGGAUGACUGCUUGGGAAUACCAGGUGCUGUAUG